rnacentral:rRNA from 1 species
GAUGAACGCUAGCGGCAGGCCUAAUACAUGCAAGUCGAGCGGCAAGUCGAGGAGUAAUCUGAGACCUAGAGCGGCGUACGGGUGCGUAACGCGUAUGCAACCUACCUCAUACAGGGGGAUAGCCCGGAGAAAUCUGGAUUAAUACCCCAUAGCACAGCACAAGGGCAUCUGCGAGCUGUUAAAGAUGCAUCGGUAUGAGCUGGGCAUGCGGCUGAUUAGCUAGUUGGCGGUGUAACGGACCACCAAGGCGACGAUCAGUAGGGGUUCUGAGAGGAAGGUCCCCCACACUGGCACUGAGAUACGGGCCAGACUCCUACGGGAGGCAGCAGUAGGGAAUAUUGGGCAAUGGACGAGAGUCUGACCCAGCCAUGCCGCGUGCAGGAAGAAGGCCUUCUGGGUUGUAAACUGCUUUUAUCUGGGAAGAAAAGGCCCAUGCGUGGGACAUUGCCGGUACCAGAUGAAUAAGCACCGGCUAACUCCGUGCCAGCCGCCGCGGUAA